rnacentral:lncRNA from 13 species
UAUAUACCCAGUAAUGGGAUUGCUGGGUCAAAUGGCAUUUCUAUUUCUAGGUCCUUGAGGAAUCACCACACUGUCUUCCACAAUGGUUGAACUAAUUUACACUCCCACCAACAGUGUAAAAGUGUUCCUAUUUCUCCACAUCCUCUCCAGGAUAUGUUGUCUCCAGAAUUUUAAUGAUUGCCAUUCUAACUGGCAUGAGAUGGUGUCUCAAUGUCGUUUUAAUUUCCAUUUCUCGAAAAAAGCACAGGGAGGACUCAAGAUGGCGCUGUGAGAACAACCCAGGAUUGGAGCUCUUCUCGUUGAAUCCGCAAACGUUGCAGCUUCAAGUCCUGGGGUCCAUGGUCUCUUCCCUGAUUUUCUACCACCUGAUCUGUUCUUCACAGAAAGAGAUGUGAAGAUACUCUUGCUUCAACUACGUGUUCUAUGCUGCUUGCCGUUGCUUGUAGGACUGGCAAGUAUAUGACCCCAUAUUCUCUAUAAGUAUGAUCGCUUAGGAAAAGAGGAUGAGCUUCCCUUUUUGUAUACUGUCUUCACUGAAUGUGCUGCUUUCCUCUCUCUCUUUUCCUCUUCCCUUCUUCCCUAUGAUUUCCUUUCAUUUUCUCAUCCAUUGUUUAGUUUUGUAUUCACCAAAUGCUCAUCAUGCACUAAGGGAAUAGAAUCAUGAAAAAGACACAGUGGGAAGACUGAUGAGUAAACCUCAACUCACCGUAUAUGUAAAAAGUUAGAGUGUGCUCUGAGAGCACAAGGGAGUGGUAAGUACACGAGUCUUGGGGAGCCAGAAAAGACACCUCAGAAAUUUUCAUACAGUGAAACCAGAAGGAUAAGUAAGAGUUAUUCAAUGACCUACUGCAACUUAUCUUUUGUUCAAUGCCUUUCAUUCACCAGCCAGGUCAGGGCUAUAUUGUUCUAUGCUGUCUUUUAAUAUUUUCUUUUUUAACUUUCUUUUUUCCCUAUUUUUAUUGAGGUAUAAUUUACAAAUAACAAUUGUAUACAUUUACGGUAUACAAAGUGAUGUUCUGAUAUAUGCAUACAUUGUGAAAGAGUUACUACAAUCAAGCCC